AAGCUCACUCACACUCAAUGAGUGGAGGUUCAAUCUGACUAUGAUCUGAGCUUCCUUUGAGUGACACUCAAGAGAAGCUCAGAUUGAUCUCCACUCAUUGAGUGUGAAUGAGC